rnacentral:pre_miRNA from 1 species
UUUCUACUCCCUCCGUCUCAUAUUAAAUGACUUUCUAUUACAUGUAUCUAGACGCUUUUUAGGCAUGGAUACAUCCAUAUUUGAGCAAAUUUGAGUCACUUAAUAUGGGACGGAAGGAGUAGAAG